GUCAGCCGCCGCGGUAACACCGGCGGCCCGAGUGGUGAUCGUGAUUAUUGGGUCUAAAGGGUCCGUAGCCGGUUUGGUCAGUCCUCCGGGAAAUCUGAUAGCUCAACUAUUAGGCUUUCGGGGGAUACUGCCAGACUUGGAACCGGGAGAGGUAAGAGGUACUACAGGGGUAGGAGUGAAAUCUUGUAAUCCCUGUGGGACCACCUGUGGCGAAGGCGUCUUACCAGAACGGGUUCGACGGUGAGGGACGAAAGCUGGGGGCACGAACCGGAUUAGAUACCCGGGUAGUCCCAGCCGUAAACGAUGCUCGCUAGGUGUCAGGCAUGGCGCGACCGUGUCUGGUGCCGCAGGGAAGCCGUGAAGCGAGCCACCUGGGAAGUACGGCCGCAAGGCUGAAACUUAAAGGAAUUGGCGGGGGAGCACAACAACGGGUGGAGCCUGCGGUUUAAUUGGACUCAACGCCGGACAACUCACCGGGGGCGACAGCAAUAUGUAGGCCAAGCUGAAGACUUUGCCUGAAUCGCUGAGGGGUGGUGCAUGG
rnacentral:rRNA from 1 species